UGCAGGCUUCAAACCUGUAGGGGCUUAGCGGCCCAGUGGUUCGACUCCACCUUGC
rnacentral:tRNA from 12 species